GGGUGGUUGGCAGAGUGGAUCAUGCAGUAAUUUUACACAUUAUCUAUGGGGGUUCGAAUCCUCCACCACUUA
rnacentral:tRNA from 2 species